UAUGUAGCGCAUUAGGAAGUGCAUUGGACUUCUAAUCCAAAAGGCGUGGGUUCGAAUCCCAACCGGGAAAG